CAAGUGGAUCUGUAAUAACUUU
rnacentral:sRNA from 1 species